AGCAGAGAGAGCGCAGCGCUCCAUGGAGCUGCCGAAAGCCCCGCGCCCAUGUGCGAGCCCCCGCUGUGCCCGGGGCGGCUCCGGAGCUUCGGGAGGGCGGCGGGGGCCGCGGGUUCGAGUCCCGGAGGUGCGGCGGGUCGGGCGGCUGUCAGCUGUCACGGGAAUGCCCGUAACCGUCCUGCGCGGGCCGGGGUUGUGCUUCUGAGAGUUGUAAGGGUUUGUGCGGCCCGUCUCUGAGCUGGUGAGGGAAGUGCUGUGAGGCGCUUUGGGGCUUUUCGAGUCUUUCAACCUAAAAUAUUCGUGGGUUUGAUGCAGUGACGUGCCAUAACUUCGAGGGUUUGAUGUGAUUGGAGUCUGCUAGAGUGCCUAGGAAAAAAAAAAAAAAAGAAGUCUUUUUCCGUAUUAUGGUUAUGACUAAUUGUGCCAAUGAGGAAGGCGGCUGCCUAGGAUACAGAAAACUUGUGAGCAAGGAGGGCUGGGUGAGGGAGGAAGUCCAGGCCCUCAGGUGAUGUGUGACCAAAACUCUCCCUGCCAAGAUAACUCUACGUCCGUCAGCAUUUCCACCAGCAGUGCCAGAACAGCACUGCUUCC
rnacentral:lncRNA from 1 species